AACGAACGCUGGCGGCAUGCCUAACACAUGCAAGUCGAACGAUACCUUCGGGUCUAGUGGCGCACGGGUGCGUAACGCGUGGGAACCGGCCCUUAGGUUCGGAAUAACUCCCCGAAAGGGGUGCUAAUACCGGAUAAUGUCUUCGGACCAAAGAUUUAUCGCCUUUGGAUGGGCCCGCGUUGGAUUAGCUAGUUGGUAGGGUAAAAGCCUACCAAGGCGACGAGCCAUAGCUGGUCUGAGAGGAUGAUCAGCCACACUGGGACUGAGACACGGCCCAGACUCCUACGGGAGGCAGGAGUGGGGAAUAUUGGCAAAUGGGCGAUAGCAUGAUCCCGCAAUGCCGCGUGAGUGAUGAAGGCCUUAGGGUUGUAAAGAUAUUUUACCCGGGAUGAUAAUGACAGUACCGGGAGAAUAAGCUCCGGCUAACUCCGUG
rnacentral:rRNA from 1 species